GCAUAUUCAGUAAGAAAAAGGCAUUUGGUAUUUGUAAACAUCGGAUAAAGUUCAAUAUGACUGGUACAACUACCACAGAAAAAUCGGCUAAUAAUCCUUUGGAACAGUUUGUGCUACUUGCAAAAACUGCCAAAGGUGCAGCUGCUAUAGAACUUAUUAAACAAGCGGUAGAGACACCAGGUGUCCAUGUAUUUGGAGAAUUAUUAGAUAUGCCUAAUAUUAAAGAACUUGAAAAUGGGCCUUAUGUUCAAUAUUGGAAUACUCUGAAUUUAUUUGCAUAUGGCACAUACAAAGAAUAUUUAGAGAACAAAGACAAGGUUCUAGAAUUGACUCCUACUCAAAAGAAAAAACUUCAGCAUCUAACAAUUGUAACACUAGCUACAAAAUCUAGAUGCAUACCGUAUUCUGUAUUGUUGGAGGAAUUAGAUAUAAAGAAUGUUAGAGAUUUAGAGGAUUUAAUAAUAGAAGCAAUUUAUGCAGAUAUAAUACAUGGCAAAUUGGAUCAAAAAAAUUCACAAUUAGAGGUAGAUUAUGCUGGUUUAGGACGUGACGUUAGACCUGCUGAUACAGGUGUAGUGGCUGAAACAUUAGCUGCUUGGGGUCAGGCUUGUGAUACUGUAUUAGCAUGUAUUGAAGAACAAGUUACAAGAGCAAAUGUAGAAAAACAAAAGGCCACAUAUCACAAAGAAAGAAUACAAAGAGAUAUUGCUAACAUAAAAAAAUCACUUGCUGCACAAGCCGGAGGUGGUGGUGUGCAGGAAGCUGAUAUGGCAGGAGGUAGUUCAGGAUCAGGAGGAAGUGAAUCAAGUAGGGAAGCAUUAUCAGCUCCACCUGAUGCAAAGAAAAAGCAACAGAAGGUCAAAGGUAUUAAAGGAAGUGGUGUGCUGAUACAUUCUAGUACGAUCAAUGAGCAGCCAAUCAUCUGCGGGUGGAUCAAGAAAAUGUAACUAUUCAUUUUUUUAUGCGAUGCGGAAUGCACGAGAGUUCACGAGAAGCGAAAGAAAAGUGAUGGCAAAAUUAUCGAAGAUCGAAGUUACGUCUCUGAAAAUUGAGAAUUGUAAGAUAUCUGUCGAAAGAAAAAUUCUGUUUUUGGAAUAAAUUUAACGGCAAAUAAAAUUGUGUUGUGAAAACCACAUAAAUAACCAUAUAAAAAGCAUUAAAAACGCAAGUUUUACAUUAUCAUAAAUUUGCAUACAAGAGGGAAUUUUGGAUUUAAUCCAUCCCGCAAGAAAAUUUGAUUCGACGAAUUGUACAUUCUGCGUUGUAUAACUUUUAAUCCAGUGGCACAAUUGAUUUCCAAUUGAUCUUUUAUUUUCAAAAAAACAAUUAAUCCCAAUCACAUGUAUAUUCCAUUCGAUUCGAUCUAAUUCGUACACUAAUUUACCUUCGUAAUUUUAUUUUCAUUUUGAAUAAUUUAAUCCUCUUUCGUGUAAUUUCCCACAAAUCGGAAUUAUCGACGAAUGCAUCGUUUCUGAACAAUUCUUCGUCGUUGUUCUCAAAAUCUUUUAUUCUUCCUUUCGCGAGAAAUAAUUUAAAAUUCACGCUUCGAUACUUUCCGCGACGAAAUAUGACAUCUUUUUUUUUUUUUUUUAUUAAUCAUCAGCAAAAAUCUUGUCUGCAUUUGAGACUUCAAACGCGGACGGGAUUUUCAUCGAUCUCUUCUAUCCUCGUUACGAUUCACUUUGAUCGAACUUUGACCUUAAUGGAAUUAUCCUUCAAGGCCGAUUUCUCUUUCUCAUUUUUCUUGUUCCUGAUAAAUCGAUAUUUCGUGACCCAUUUACACGCCCUAGCUCGUGAAACAUUAUUCUCCUGUCAUCAAAUCAGGCUGACUGAAUUUAUCGCUGACUUGCAUAUAUUCUGCUCGCGACAAAUUUGCCAUAAGAUAUCAGAAAUGAAAUUGUGACACAUUGUUCACAAUGAGCAAAGAGAAAUAGAGUGUGCAUCAUUUUAUGUUUUAUUUUUAGUUGUAAAUUCAAAUUGUCUGUUGGAGCAUCCCGGAACAUUGUUCAUUUCCAACAUGUAGCAAUGAAAGGUUAAAGGGAAGGGGCAUUGGAAUAAUUCCAAAAAAAGAGAAUGCUUUUAUUAUUUUGGACUUUCUAAUGAUACAUUGAUCGCGAUAUUAUUCCACUUAUUUUACUUGUUUUAAUAGUAUUUUAUUUCGAAUUUUGAAAUAAUUAAUAUUUGUUAAAUUUAACUGCAAUUAAAUACACCUAAUGUAAAAUACGAGGGGCGAACACUCGAUAAAUUUAAAAGUAUAAGAGAGAAAAUUUCGAAAUUUAUUUAUUAAUUAUUAUAUUUUAUUUUAAAUUUAUAAGGAGGACAAUAAAUAUUUGUCGAAUUAAUCAUAAUAAAAUAUACUUCGUAUAUUGUUCCGCGUGUGAAAUAUGAGGUGUGGAUGUUCGAUAAAUUGAAAGAUGUAUGCAAGUAAAUUUGCAUACUGUAAACGCAGCGCGUGGAUGUCGAAAUUGUGGUGUAGGAGUCGAUGAGAAUACUUGAUAAGGUCAAGAAGUUAGUAGAGGCAGCAAGGGAUACUGCCCCUCAACACAACAAUUCCAACAAAUGGGGACGAAAUUGCAAAAAACUCGCAUAAUCAUCAACCUUGUACCGUAGUUUAUGUUGCGAUUGCACACAGGGAUAUAAAGAAACAGCUAAAAAUGAUAAGAGGAAAAUGUAUUGCACGACCAAAGGAAGUAAAAAAGAAUACUGUGAAAACAUCAACGUGAACCUGAAUGAAAAAAAAAAACAAGCUUGAUUUUGAGGAAGAAUAUUCUCGGAUGAAAAAUAUAUUUUUUAAUGUAUAAUAAUAAUUGGUCGAUUAAAUUCUUCUUUGAAAAUAAAAAGGCCAAAUCAAA